CCGCACAGGUUCCUGGAACAGCAGCCGUAUCCUUGAUCUCCAGGGAUCAAGCACCUCGAGGAUUUGUUUUGCCAACUGCAUGGGAGGCUGCAGAGAACCAGCUUGUGGAACAGUGUAUAAUUACUGUCUUCAGAUGCACAUGAAUAGAUUGUAAGCUGCUCUUGCAGGGUCCUUGCAUUUGUUUUUGGUACUGUUACUUUUUCUGGCGAACAUGCUCUGUAUGCAAUGUGAAACAAACUUAGACUGGACAGAACGUGCUAAAGUACAAAAAGGAUCCAGUCAUGUAAAUGCUGCCUAUAUGCUGUUAGGCUAGUCUCUGGGGAUGUGUGCAAGUAAGGCAUCUGACUUAUUUUACCAUUCUUGGUCACCUUUAAAAACAAAAAAAAUACGAAUAAAGAAUAUGAGAAAUCCA